GUGAACUUUGCCAAUCACAAAGCAAAAUGUCAUUGACAGAAAAAAAACAGAAUUUUGCAUCUUGUUGUUUUGUUGCCCUCUGGUGGCUGGCUGGCUCACUAGCUAAAACUGUCCCUUUCCUAAAUUAGCUAUGGGUGGAGAUAGGGAUCUGGGCGUGGUUUUACUUAAUUCUCCGUACUGGAAAAGGAUUAUAACAUUAAUUCAUGCAUGGGCCUCUUGCCUGAGAGGAAGUUCAAUAUGUAUCUAGAUGUAGUAAGCUAAUGUUAACUAGAAAACUUUGCCCAUGAAAGGAAGUUAGGCUAGCGAGCAAGCAUUUUAGCCAGGUAGCCUAGCACAACAACAAGUAAAAGCGUGUACUGUGUAACAGAGACGUAGAAUGUUUCGUCACCAUAAAAGAGAGGAGGAUGGCGUUGGCGUUUCUCUAAAAGCAGGUGGCCAUACCAUAUGCUCAUUAUGAGCUCCCUGGAUGCUCCAUCCCUGGUGCAGUGGUGCCUGGCGGUUCAGAGGGAAGGCUGGGGAGAGAUGCCCCCUUAAGAUAAAUGCUCUUGAACGUACCAUCGCUCUUCUGAGGAGAAGCAGGCGCCUCAUUGGCCGAGUUCAGAGGUCAGUUCCUAUGGUAUCUAUGCGACCAAUCCACUGUCUUGCUCUCUCUAGGAGCGUUACAUCACUUAGCAUUAUGUGACUUUGCAGUAGACUCACUCAAUCCAUUACGUCUGACAAGCCGCGCUCAAGAUGAAGUACUGUUCUGCAGCCAACCUCUCCAUGAUGCCUCUUUUAUGGGGUUUUAAAGGGUGAUGUCCCUGCGUGGUCAUUGUUUGCAAGCUUAUGUAGAAAUAUAUUGGCUGUAACAAAUAAAGACGAAUAACCUGUCUUCCUGUUUCUAUUAUUGUCCUCCUCCUUCCCACUGAAUUUUUAACAGGGCUGUAUUCAAGACGGGCACUGACUAUGUGAACUGGUUACCAACCACAUAGCAAUGGAGCUGAAUGACUAAUUAGUAGAUCUCUAGUAGA